rnacentral:rRNA from 1 species
UCGGGAAUUUUGGGCAAUGGGCGAAAGCCUGACCCAGCAACGCCGCGUGAAGGAUGAAGUAUUUCGGUAUGUAAACUUCGAAAGAAUAGGAAGAAUAAAUGACGGUACUAUUUAUAAGGUCCGGCUAACUACGUGCCAGCAGCCGCGGUAAUACGUAGGGACCAAGCGUUGUUCGGAAUUACUGGGCGUAAAGGGCUCGUAGGUGGCCAACUAAGUCACACGUGAAAUCCCUCGGCUUAACCGGGGAACUGCGUGUGAUACUGGAUGGCUUGAGUUUGGGAGAGGGAUGCGGAAUUCCAGGUGUAGCGGUGAAAUGCGUAGAUAUCUGGAGGAACACCGGUGGCGAAGGCGGCAUCCUGGACCAAUACUGACACUGAGGAGCGAAAGCCAGGGGAGCAAACGGGAUUAGAUACCCCAGUAGUCCCUGAGCGGGCUGGCAAGGCGCAU